rnacentral:rRNA from 1 species
UGCAGUCGAGCGGUAGAGAGAAGCUUGCUUCUCUUGAGAGCGGCGGACGGGUGAGUAAUGCCUAGGAAUCUGCCUGGUAGUGGGGGAUAACGUCCGGAAACGGACGCUAAUACCGCAUACGUCCUACGGGAGAAAGCAGGGGACCUUCGGGCCUUGCGCUAUCAGAUGAGCCUAGGUCGGAUUAGCUAGUUGGUGAGGUAAUGGCUCACCAAGGCGACGAUCCGUAACUGGUCUGAGAGGAUGAUCAGUCACACUGGAACUGAGACACGGUCCAGACUCCUACGGGAGGCAGCAGUGGGGAAUAUUGGACAAUGGGCGAAAGCCUGAUCCAGCCAUGCCGCGUGUGUGAAGAAGGUCUUCGGAUUGUAAAGCACUUUAAGUUGGGAGGAAGGGCAGUAAGUUAAUACCUUGCUGUUUUGACGUUACCGACAGAAUAAGCACCGGCUAACUCUGUGCCAGCAGCCGCGGUAAUACAGAGGGUGCAAGCGUUAAUCGGAAUUACUGGGCGUAAAGCGCGCGUAGGUGGUUUGUUAAGUUGGAUGUGAAAUCCCCGGGCUCAACCUGGGAACUGCAUUCAAAACUGACAAGCUAGAGUAUGGUAGAGGGUGGUGGAAUUUCCUGUGUAGCGGUGAAAUGCGUAGAUAUAGGAAGGAACACCAGUGGCGAAGGCGACCACCUG